rnacentral:sRNA from 1 species
UAAUAAGUGUUUUACUGCACUUUUUAAAAAUCAGUAUUCACCUUGUGUGCAAUGUUUGCUGACGAGUUUGCGUUUUACGCGUUCUUGGCAGCACAAUACCAACCCUUUAUUAAAAUUUUUUGUCUGAAAUUUUUUGAAUACAUAAUUCGAAAUACAACUUUUAACAACGGAUCUCUUGGCUCUCGCAUCGAUGAAGAACGCAGCGAAAUGCGAUACGUAAUGUGAGUUGCAGAAUUCAGUGAAUCAUCGAAUCUUUGAACGCACAUUGCACUCUCUGGUAUUCCGGAGAGUAUGCUUGUUUGAGUAUCUGUAAACAUUUCAAAUCUCUACUUUAUUGUAAAGAAUUGGACUUGAGCAAUCCCAACUCCUUCGUCAGAAAGAGAAGGGUUGCUUGAAAUGCAGGUGCAGCUGGACAUUCUUCUGAGCUAAAAGCAUAUUUAUUUAGUCCCGUCAAAUGGAUUAUUAUUCUUGCUUCAGCUUACAUAAAGGUUGAAUGACUACCAAGGCUGAUUGCAGGUAAACUCGUUCCGUAAAAAAGAACUUGUAAACUCGAUCUCAAAUCAAGUAAGACUACCCGCUGAACUUAAGCAUAUCAUA